CUCGAAACAAAAACAACUAAAUCAAAAAAAAUAUUUCUGUAAUAAAAAAAAAUUGAAUUCUGAUUUAAAGACGAAAUGUCAGUCGAGUUUUGGAUAUCUAGUUUUUUCUGAAGUAGAUUAAAUCUAAUUCUUAUUAAAAGUUUGGUAAGAAAAAAGAAUAGGAGGGAUAAGCUUCUUAUUAAAAUUUAAUAGAUGAUUUAAAAGUCUGUUAUUUGUCCAAGCUUAAAAGUAGUUAAGAAUAAAAGUGUGUUAAAACUUAAAUUACUAAGAAAAUAAUAUAUAUGAUUUCUUUAAAUUUAUGAAAAUAUUAAUAGAAUUAAAAUUAAUUAAAUAAGAGUGGUUAUAUUAGUAUAAUUUUUAAAAUAUAUUGAAUAAUAUAUUAAAUAUAGAAUUAUAAUAAAUUAAAAAGUAGAAGGUGAACCUAAGGAACUCGGCAAAAACCUCUUUUGCCUGUUUAUCAAAAACAUGUCUGUUUGAAGUUAUAAACAGUCAGGCCUGCUCACUGAAUAGACUUUUAAAGAGCCGCGGUAUAUUGACCGUGCUAAGGUAGCAUAAUAAUUAGCUUUUUAAUUGAGAGCUGGGAUGAAAGGUCAGACAAAAAGAAAUCUGUCUUAAGUUCAAUAUUAAAAUUUAAUCUUUAAGUGAAAAAGCUUAAAUAAUUUAGGAAGACGAUAAGACCCUAUAAAGCUUUAUGUAAAAAAAAUCUUAACUGAAUUAAAAGUAAUAAAAGUUUUAAUUAAUCUUUAUAUUAUAUUGGGGCGAUAAAAGUAUAAUUAAUUUAACUGCUUAUGUUUGUUACAUAGAUAAGUGAGUUUAUAUAAGUGAUCCUUAAUAGAGAUUUUAAGAGCAAGUUACUUUAGGGAUAACAGCGUUAUUUUUUUUGAGAGCUCAUAUCGAAAAAAAAGUUUGCGACCUCGAUGUUGAAUUAAAAUAUCUAUAUAAUGCAGAAGUCAUAUAAGAGGGUCUGUUCGACCUUUAAAUUUUUACAUGAUUUGAGUUCAGACCGGCGUGAGCCAGGUCAGUUUCUAUCUUCUAAAGACAAUAAGAUAAUCUUAGUACGAAAGGAUCAGGUUAUUUAAAUUUUUUUUUAUUUACUUG
rnacentral:rRNA from 1 species